rnacentral:rRNA from 1 species
UACGGAGGGUGCAAGCGUUAAUCGGAAUUACUGGGCGUAAAGCGUGCGUAGGCGGUUCGUUAGUCUGUUGUGAAAGCCCCGGGCUCAACCUGGGAAUGGCAAUGGAUACUGGCGAGCUAGAGUGUGUCAGAGGAUGGUGGAAUUCCCGGUGUAGCGGUGAAAUGCGUAGGAGAUCGGGAGGAACAUCAGUGGCGGAAGGCGGC